AUUGAACGCUGGCGGCAGGCUUAACACAUGCAAGUCGAGCGGUAACAGAGAGAAGCUUGCUUCUCUGCUGACGAGCGGCGGACGGGUGAGUAAUGCCUAGGAAUCUGCCUAGUAGUGGGGGAUGACUUGCCGAAAGGUAAGCUAAUACCGCAUACGUUCGACGGGAGAAAGGAGGGGACCUUCGGGCCGUUCGCGAUUAGAUGAGACGAGGUCGGAUUAGUUAGUUGGUGGGGUAAUGGCUCACCAAGACCGCGAUCCGUAACUGGUCUGAGAGGAUGAUCAGUCACACUGGAACUGAGACACGGUCCAGACUCCUACGGGAGGCAGCAGUGGGGAAUAUUGGACAAUGGGGGGAACCCUGAUCCAGCCAUGCCGCGUGUGUGAAGAAGGUCUUAGGAUUGUAAAGCACUUUAAGUUGGGAGGAAGAGCAGUUAACUAAUAUUUGACUGUUUUGACGUUACCGACAGAAUAAGCACCGGCUAACUUCGUGCCAGCAGCCGCAGUAA
rnacentral:rRNA from 1 species